ACGUACGCUGGCGGCACGCCUAACACAUGCAAGUCGAACGAAGUAGCAAUACUUAGUGGCAGACGGGUGAGUAACAUGUGGGUAUCUGCCCUUUGGCCUGGAAUAACACGAGGAAACUUGUGCUAAUACCGGAUAAGUCUUUACGGAGAAAGCUUUAUGCACCAUUGGAUGAGCCCGCACUUGAUUAGUUUGUUGGUAGGGUAAUGGCCUACCAAGACUGUGAUCAAUAGCUGAUUUGAGAGGAUGAUCAGCCACAUUGGGACUGAGACACGGCCCAAACUCCUACGGGAGGCAGCAGUGGGGAAUCUUGCACAAUGGAGGAAACUCUGAUGCAGCGAUGCCGCGUGAGUGAAGAAGGCCCUUGGGUUGUAAAGCUCUUUCGUCGGGGAAGAAAAUGACUGUACUCGAAUAAGAAGGUCCGGCUAACUUCGUGCCAGCAGCCGCGGUAAUACGAAGGGACCUAGCGUAGUUCGGAAUUACUGGGCUUAAAGAGUUCGUAGGUGGUUGAAAAAGUUGGUGGUGAAAUCCCAGAGCUUAACUCUGGAACUGCCAUCAAAACUUUUCAGCUAGAGUAUGAUAGAGGAAAGCAGAAUUUCUAGUGUAGAGGUGAAAUUCGUAGAUAUUAGAAAGAAUACCAAUUGCGAAGGCAGCUUUCUGGAUCAUUACUGACACUGAGGAACGAAAGCAUGGGUAGCGAAGAGGAUUAGAUACCCUCGUAGUCCAUGCCGUAAACGAUGUGUGUUAGACGUUGGAAAUUUAUUUUCAGUGUCGCAGCGAAAGCGAUAAACACACCGCCUGGGGAGUACGACCGCAAGGUUAAAACUCAAAUGAAUUGACGGGGACCCGCACAAGUAGUGGAGCAUGUGGUUUAAUUCGAAGAUACGCGCAGAACCUUACCAACACUUGACAUGUUCGUCGCGACUCUAAGAGAUUAGAGUUUUCGGUUCGGCCGGACGAAACACAGGUGCUGCAUGGCUGUCGUCAGCUCGUGUCGUGAGAUGUUGGGUUACGUCCCGCAACGAGCGCAACCCUCACUUUUAGUUGCCAUCAUUAAGUUGGGCACUCUGAAAGAACUGCCAGUGAUAAGCUGAAGGAAGGUGGGGAUGACGUCAAGUCCUCAUGGCCCUUACGUGUUGGGCUACACACGUGCUACAAUGGUAUCUACAACAGGAAGCAAGACUGCGAAGUUAAGCAAAUCCCUAAAAGAUACCUCAGUUCGGAUUGCACUCUGCAACUCGAGUGCAUGAAGCUGGAAUUACUAGUAAUCGUGGAUCAGCGUGCCACGGUGAAUGCGUUCCCGGGUCUUGCACUCACCGCCC
rnacentral:rRNA from 1 species